rnacentral:rRNA from 1 species
GGGUUGUGAGGUUAAGCGACUAAGCGUACACGGUGGAUGCCCUGGCAGUCAGAGGCGAUGAAGGGCGUGCUAAUCUGCGAUAAGCGCCGGUAAGGUGAUAUGAACCGUUAUAACCGGCGAUACCCGAAUGGGGAAACCCAGUGUGACUCGUCACACUAUCAUUAACUGAAUCCAUAGGUUAAUGAGGCGAACCGGGGGAACUGAAACAUCUAAGUACCCCGAGGAAAAGAAAUCAACCGAGAUUCCCCCAGUAGCGGCGAGCGAACGGGGAGGAGCCCAGAGCCUGAAUCAGCAUGUGUGUUAGUGGAAGCGUCUGGAAAGGCGCGCGAUACAGGGUGACAGCCCCGUACACAAAAGCGCAUGUGCUGUGAGCUCGAUGAGUAGGGCGGGACACGUGGUAUCCUGUCUGAAUAUGGGGGGACCAUCCUCCAAGGCUAAAUACUCCUGACUGACCGAUAGUGAACCAGUACCGUGAGGGAAAGGCGAAAAGAACCCCGGCGAGGGGAGUGAAAAAGAACCUGAAACCGUGUACGUACAAGCAGUGGGAGCCCCACCACCAAAGCAUUCUCUGGUGUUGAAGGCCCUGCAAAGCAGCAUCGCGGUGGCGGAGCGUCGUUUGCGACGCCCAACACACAAAACAAGCGGUGAAUGCUUUGGGGUGGGGUGACUGCGUACCUUUUGUAUAAUGGGUCAGCGACUUAUAUUCUGUAGCAAGGUUAACCGAAUAGGGGAGCCGGAGGGAAACCGAGUCUUAAUUGGGCGUUAAGUUGCAGGGUAUAGACCCGAAACCCGGUGAUCUAGCCAUGGGCAGGUUGAAGGUUGGGUAACACUAACUGGAGGACCGAACCGACUAAUGUUGAAAAAUUAGCGGAUGACCUGUGGCUGGGGUGAAAGGCCAAUCAAACCGGGAGAUAGCUGGUUCUCCCCGAAAGCUAUUUAGGUAGCGCCUCGUGAAUUCAUCUCCGGGGUAGAGCACUGUUUCGGCUAGGGGCCAUCCCGGCUUACCAACCCGAUGCAAACUGCGAAUACCGGAGAAUGUUAUCACGGGAGACACACGGCGGGUGCUAACGUCCGUCGUGAAGAGGGAAACAACCCAGACCGCCAGCUAAGGUCCCAAAGUCAUGGUUAAGUGGGAAACGAUGUGGGAAGGCCCAGACAGCCAGGAUGUUGGCUUAGAAGCAGCCAUCAUUUAAAGAAAGCGUAAUAGCUCACUGGUCGAGUCGGCCUGCGCGGAAGAUGUAACGGGGCUAAACCAUGCACCGAAGCUGCGGCAGCGACGCUGAUGCGUUGUUGGGUAGGGGAGCGUUCUGUAAGCCUGUGAAGGUGUGUCGUGAGGCAUGCUGGAGGUAUCAGAAGUGCGAAUGCUGACAUAAGUAACGAUAAAGCGGGUGAAAAGCCCGCUCGCCGGAAGACCAAGGGUUCCUGUCCAACGUUAAUCGGGGCAGGGUGAGUCGACCCCUAAGGCGAGGCCGAAAGGCGUAGUCGAUGGGAAACGGGUUAAUAUUCCCGUACUUGGUGUUACUGCGAAGGGGGGACGGAGAAGGCUAUGUUGGCCGGGCGACGGUUGUCCCGGUUUAAGCGUGUAGGUGUGUGUUCCAGGUAAAUCCGGUUCACUUUAACACUGAGGCGUGACGACGAGGCACUACGGUGCUGAAGCAACAAAUGCCCUGCUUCCAGGAAAAGCCUCUAAGCAUCAGGUAACACGAAAUCGUACCCCAAACCGACACAGGUGGUCAGGUAGAGAAUACCAAGGCGCUUGAGAGAACUCGGGUGAAGGAACUAGGCAAAAUGGUGCCGUAACUUCGGGAGAAGGCACGCUGACACGUAGGUGAAGUGAUUUACUCAUGGAGCUGAAGUCAGUCGAAGAUACCAGCUGGCUGCAACUGUUUAUUAAAAACACAGCACUGUGCAAACACGAAAGUGGACGUAUACGGUGUGACGCCUGCCCGGUGCCGGAAGGUUAAUUGAUGGGGUCAGCGUAAGCGAAGCUCCUGAUCGAAGCCCCGGUAAACGGCGGCCGUAACUAUAACGGUCCUAAGGUAGCGAAAUUCCUUGUCGGGUAAGUUCCGACCUGCACGAAUGGAAUGGCGUAAUGAUGGCGGGCUGUCUCCACCCGAGACUCAGUGAAAUUGAACUCGCUGUGAAGAUGCAGUGUACCCGCGGCAAGACGGAAAGACCCCGUGAACCUUUACUAUAGCUUGACACUGAACAUUGAGCCUUGAUGUGUAGGAUAGGUGGGAGGCUUUGAAGUGUGGACGCCAGUCUGCAUGGAGCCGACCUUGAAAUACCACCCUUUAAUGUUUGAUGUUCUAACGUGGACCCGUAAUCCGGGUUGCGGACAGUGUCUGGUGGGUAGUUUGACUGGGGCGGUCUCCUCCUAAAGAGUAACGGAGGAGCACGAAGGUUGGCUAAUCCUGGUCGGACAUCAGGAGGUUAGUGCAAUGGCAUAAGCCAGCUUGACUGCGAGCGUGACGGCGCGAGCAGGUGCGAAAGCAGGUCAUAGUGAUCCGGUGGUUCUGAAUGGAAGGGCCAUCGCUCAACGGAUAAAAGGUACUCCGGGGAUAACAGGCUGAUACCGCCCAAGAGUUCAUAUCGACGGCGGUGUUUGGCACCUCGAUGUCGGCUCAUCACAUCCUGGGGCUGAAGUAGGUCCCCAAGGGUAUGGCUGUUCGCCAUUUAAAGUGGUACGCGAGCUGGGUUUAGAACGUCGUGAGACAGUUCGGUCCCCUAUCUGCCGUGGGCGCGGGAGAACUGAGGGGGGCUGCUCCUAGUACGAGAGGACCGGAGUGGACGCAUCACUGGUGUUCGGGUUGUCAUGCCAAUGGCACUGCCCGGUAGCUAAAUGCGGAAGAGAUAAGUGCUGAAAGCAUCUAAGCACGAAACUUGCCCCGAGAUGAGUUCUCCCUGAGACUUUAGGUCUCCUGAAGGAACGUUGAAGACGACGACGUUGAUAGGCCGGGUGUGUAAGCGCAGCGAUGCGUUGAGCUAACCGGUACUAAUGAACCGUGAGGCUUAACCUUACAACGCCGAAG